rnacentral:rRNA from 1 species
GACAGAGGGUGCAAACGUUGUUCGGAUUUACUGGGCGUAAAGCGCGUGUAGGCGGCUUGGCAAGUUGGAUGUGAAAGCCCACGGCUCAACCGUGGAAGCGCAUCCAAAACUGCUUCGCUCGAGUCUCGGAGAGGAAGGUGGAAUGCUUGGUGUAGAGGUGAAAUUCGUAGAUAUCUGGAGGAACACCGGUGGCGAAGGCGGCAUCCUGGACCAAUACUGACGCUGAGGAGCGAAAGCCAGGGGAGCAAACGGG